UACGUAGGGGGCAAGCGUUGUCCGGAAUCAUUGGGCGUAAAGAGCGUGUAGGCGGCUCGAUAAGUCCGCUGUGAAAGUCCAGGGCUCAGCCCUGGAAGGCCGGUGGAAACUGUCGGGCUAGAGUCCGGAAGAGGCGAGUGGAAUUCCCGGUGUAGCGGUGAAAUGCGCAGAUAUCAGGAGGAACACCGGUGGCGAAGGCGGGUCUCUGGGCCGAUACUGACGCUGGAGGAGCGAAAGCGUGGGGAGCGAACAGG
rnacentral:rRNA from 1 species